rnacentral:rRNA from 1 species
CAAUAGCGUAUAUUAAAGUUGUUGCAGUUAAAAAGCUCGUAGUUGGAUUUGUGGCGUACGGUGUGUUCCGGGCACUUGUUGUCUGAGUAACCUGCUGUUGCCAUCCUUGGGUGGAACCUGUGUGGCAUUAGGUUGUCGUGCAGGGGAUGCCCAUCAUUUACUGUGAAAAAAUUAGAGUGUUCAAAGCAGGCUUAUGCCGUUGAAUAUAUUAGCAUGGAAUAAUGAGAUAGGACUUUCUUGCUAUUUUGUUGGUUUGCGCAAAGAGGUAAUGAUUAAUAGGGACAGUUGGGGGUAUUCGUAUUCCAUUGUCAGAGGUGAAAUUCUUGGACUUUUGGAAGACGAACUACUGCGAAAGCAUUUACCAAGGAUGUUUUCAUUAA